UUGAGCUUAAAUGCCCGCUAUAAUAUUUUUGCAAUGCCUUGCUGAAAUACCAGCGCAAAGUUAAUGCUUAUGAUGGUUUUACACUUGAUCUCUGAACUUCAGGCAUCGACUUAAAAGAAAAUGCAUGGAAAUGUACACAACAAAUUUAGGGAGUUAGAGAGUAUUCACUUCAAAGAUUCUCAGCAAUAACAGGUUUAUAAACCAGAAUUGAUCACUUGGGCAUUAUAAUGCCCAAUUUUAAAUUCUAACCCUUUUCGUUUGAUAAAAAUGGCCUGUGCUCAUAAGAUUUUAAAAGCUGUUCCCACUCAUCCUUAUGCACCAUUGCCGGAUAACAUCAGAAGUAUCACCUCUCAUGAUUUGAACCUUAACUUCCAGCAGACUCUUGGGGAAGACAUCCAACUGCCGACAGUUUAGCCAAAUUUGGAGUUGGUCAUGUAGGUUCUGUUUUGGUGCUUAAACUUGUCAUAAUUGUUUGUUGAUACAACAGGCAGGAGUUCAACAAUUAAUUUGAACACGUUUGUUAUUUGAGGGACUCUUACAAUGAACAACAGCUUAUAGUCAUCA
rnacentral:sRNA from 1 species